rnacentral:rRNA from 1 species
UCAAGUAAUUAAGUGCAUGUGGUGGAUGCCUUGGCAGUCAGAGGCGAUGAAAGACGUGAUAGCCUGCGAAAAGCUCCGGGGAGGCGGCAAAUAUCCUUUGAUCCGGAGAUGUCUGAAUGGGGGAACCCACCUACUUUAAGGUAGGUAUUGCAACAUGAAUACAUAGUGUUGCAAGGCGAACGAGGGGAAGUGAAACAUCUCAGUACCCUUAGGAAAAGAAAUCAAUUGAGAUUCCCUCAGUAGCGGCGAGCGAACGGGGAUCAGCCCAUUAAGUUAUGUGUGUUUUAGUGGAACGCUCUGGGAAGUGCGAACGUAGAGGGUGAUAUUCCCGUACACGAAAGGGCACACAUAAUGAUGACGAGUAGGGCGAGGCACGUGAAACCUUGUCUGAAUAUGGGGGGACCAUCCUCCAAGGCUAAAUACUCCUGACUGACCGAUAGUGAACCAGUACCGUGAGGGAAAGGCGAAAAGAACCCCUGUGAGGGGAGUGAAAUAGAUCCUGAAACCGCAUGCAUACAAGCAGUGGGAGCACCUUCGUGGUGUGACUGCGUACCUUUUGUAUAAUGGGUCAGCGACUUAUAUUCAGUAGCGAGGUUAACCGUAUAGGGGAGCCGUAGAGAAAUCGAGUCUUAAUAGGGCGUUUAGUUGCUGGGUAUAGACCCGAAACCAGGCGAUCUAUCCAUGAGCAGGUUGAAGGUUGGGUAACACUAACUGGAGGACCGAACCCACUGUCGUUGAAAAGCCAGGGGAUGACUUGUGGAUAGGGGUGAAAGGCUAAUCAAGCCUGGUGAUAGCUGGUUCUCCCCGAAAGCUAUUUAGGUAGCGCCUCGGACGAAUACCAUAGGGGGUAGAGCACUGUUUCGGCUAGGGGGUCAUCCCGACUUACCAAACCGAUGCAAACUCCGAAUACCUAUGAGUACUAUCCGGGAGACAGACUGCGGGUGCUAACGUCCGUAGUCAAGAGGAAAACAAUCCAGACCGCCAGCUAAGGCCCCAAAAUCAUAGUUAAGUGGGAAACGAUGUGGGAAGGCAUAGACAGCUAGGAGGUUGGCUUAGAAGCAGCCACCCUUUAAAGAAAGCGUAAUAGCUCACUAGUCGAGUCGGCCUGCGCGGAAGAUGUAACGGGCUAAAACUAUGUGCCGAAGCUGCGGAUGUAUACUUUGUAUACGUGGUAGGGGAGCGUUCUGUAAGCCGAUGAAGGUGUGUUGAGAAGCAUGCUGGAGGUAUCAGAAGUGCGAAUGCUGACGUGAGUAACGACAAAACGGGUGAAAAACCCGUUCGCCGAAAGACCAAGGGUUCCAGUCCAACGUUAAUCGGGGCUGGGUGAGUCGACCCCUAAGGCGAGGCCGAAAGGCGUAGUCGAUGGGAAAAUGGUUAAUAUUCCAUUACUUCUGUGUAAUGCGAUGAGAGGACGGAGAAGGCUAAAUCAGCCUGGCGUUGGUUGUCCAGGUGAAAGGAUGUAGGCAUGUAUCUUAGGCAAAUCCGGGGUACUCUAUGCUGAGAUCUGAUAGCAAGCUGUACUUGUACAGCGAAGUGGUUGAUGCCAUGCUUCCAGGAAAAGUCUCUAAGCUUCAGUUACACAGGAAUCGUACCCGAAACCGACACAGGUGGUCAGGUCGAGUAGACCAAGGCGCUUGAGAGAACUCUGCUGAAGGAACUAGGCAAAAUGGUACCGUAACUUCGGGAGAAGGUACGCUGUUGUUGGUGAUGGAACUCGCUUCCUGAGCUGACGACAGCCGCAGAAACCAGGCCGCUGCAACUGUUUAUUAAAAACAUAGCACUCUGCAAACACGAAAGUGGACGUAUAGGGUGUGAUGCCUGCCCGGUGCUGGAAGGUUAAUUGAUGGGGUUAGCGUAAGCGAAGCUCUUGAUCGAAGCCCCAGUAAACGGCGGCCGUAACUAUAACGGUCCUAAGGUAGCGAAAUUCCUUGUCGGGUAAGUUCCGACCUGCACGAAUGGCAUAAUGAUGGCGGCGCUGUCUCCAGCAGAGGCUCAGUGAAAUCGAAAUCGCUGUGAAGAUGCAGUGUACCCGCGGCUAGACGGAAAGACCCCGUGAACCUUUACUGCAGCUUGACACUGAACUUUGACCUUACUUGUGUAGGAUAGGUGGGAGGCUUUGAAGCUGGAACGCUAGUUCCAGUGGAGCCGUCCUUGAAAUACCACCCUGGUAAUGUUGAGGUUCUAACUCUGUCCCGUGAUCCGGGACGAGGACCGUGUCUGGUGGGUAGUUUGACUGGGGCGGUCUCCUCCUAAAGAGUAACGGAGGAGUACGAAGGUGCGCUCAGCGUGGUCGGAAAUCACGCGUAGAGUAUAAAGGCAAAAGCGCGCUUAACUGCGAGACCCACAAGUCGAGCAGGUACGAAAGUAGGUCUUAGUGAUCCGGUGGUUCUGUAUGGAAGGGCCAUCGCUCAACGGAUAAAAGGUACUCUGGGGAUAACAGGCUGAUACCGCCCAAGAGUUCAUAUCGACGGCGGUGUUUGGCACCUCGAUGUCGGCUCAUCUCAUCCUGGGGCUGAAGCAGGUCCCAAGGGUAUGGCUGUUCGCCAUUUAAAGAGGUACGCGAGCUGGGUUUAGAACGUCGUGAGACAGUUCGGUCCCUAUCUACCGUGGGCGCUGGAAAUUUGAGAGGAUCUGCUCCUAGUACGAGAGGACCAGAGUGGACGAACCUCUGGUGUACCGGUUGUGACGCCAGUCGCAUCGCCGGGUAGCUAUGUUCGGAAGGGAUAACCGCUGAAAGCAUCUAAGCGGGAAGCCUACCUCAAGAUAAGAUUUCCCUAGGACUUUAUGUCCUCUAAAGAGCCGUUCGAGACUAGGACGUUGAUAGGUUGGAUGUGGAAGCAUAGUGAUAUGUGAAGCUGACCAAUACUAAUUGCUCGUGAGGCUUGACUA